rnacentral:rRNA from 1 species
AGCGAACGCUGGCGGCAGGCCUAACACAUGCAAGUCGAACGAAGCCUUCGGGCUUAGUGGCGGACGGGUGAGUAACACGUGGGAACGUACCUUUUGGUUCGGGACAACUCAGGGAAACUUGAGCUAAUACCGGAUGAGCCCUUAGGGGGAAAGAUUUAUCGCCGAAAGAGCGGCCCGCGUUAGAUUAGCUAGUUGGUGAGGUAAAGGCUCACCAAGGCAACGAUCUAUAGCUGGUCUGAGAGGAUGAUCAGCCACACUGGGACUGAGACACGGCCCAGACUCCUACGGGAGGCAGCAGUGGGGAAUCUUGCGCAAUGGGCGAAAGCCUGACGCAGCCAUGCCGCGUGAAUGAUGAAGGUCUUAGGAUUGUAAAAUUCUUUUACCAGGGACGAUAAUGACGGUACCUGGAGAAAAAGCCCCGGCUAACUUCGUGCCAGCCGCCGCGGUAAAAC